CUUCCUUCGGGAAGUGGAUUAGCGGCGGACGGGUGAGUAACACGUGGGUAACCUGCCUCAAAGUGGGGGAUAGCCUUCCGAAAGGAAGAUUAAUACCGCAUAAUAUAAGAGAAUCGCAUGAUUUUCUUAUCAAAGAUUUAUUGCUUUGAGAUGGACCCGCGGCGCAUUAGCUAGUUGGUAAGGUAACGGCUUACCAAGGCAACGAUGCGUAGCCGACCUGAGAGGGUGAUCGGCCACAUUGGAACUGAGACACGGUCCAGACUCCUACGGGAGGCAGCAGUGGGGAAUAUUGCGCAAUGGGGGAAACCCUGACGCAGCAACGCCGCGUGGGUGAUGAAGGUCUUCGGAUUGUAAAGCCCUGUUUUCUAGGACGAUAAUGACGGUACUAGAGGAGGAAGCCACGGCUAACUACGUGCCAGCAGCCGCGGUAAUACGUAGGUGGCGAGCGUUGUCCGGAUUUACUGGGCGUAAAGGGUGCGUAGGCGGAUGUUUAAGUGGGAUGUGAAAUCCCCGGGCUUAACCUGGGGGCUGCAUUCCAAACUGGAUAUCUAGAGUGCAGGAGAGGAAAGCGGAAUUCCUAGUGUAGCGGUGAAAUGCGUAGAGAUUAGGAAGAACACCAGUGGCGAAGGCGGCUUUCUGGACUGUAACUGACGCUGAGGCACGAAAGCGUGGGUAGCAAACAGGAUUAGAUACCCUGGUAGUCCACGCCGUAAACGAUGGAUACUAGGUGUAGGGGGUAUCAACUCCCCCUGUGCCGCAGUUAACACAAUAAGUAUCCCGCCUGGGGAGUACGGUCGCAAGAUUAAAACUCAAAGGAAUUGACGGGGGCCCGCACAAGCAGCGGAGCAUGUGGUUUAAUUCGAAGCAACGCGAAGAACCUUACCUGGACUUGACAUCCCUUGCAUAGCCUAGAGAUAGGUGAAGCCCUUCGGGGCAAGGAGACAGGUGGUGCAUGGUUGUCGUCAGCUCGUGUCGUGAGAUGUUAGGUUAAGUCCUGCAACGAGCGCAACCCUUGUUAUUAGUUGCUACCAUUAAGUUGAGCACUCUAAUGAGACUGCCUGGGUAACCAGGAGGAAGGUGGGGAUGACGUCAAAUCAUCAUGCCCCUUAUGUCCAGGGCUACACACGUGCUACAAUGGUAGGUACAAUAAGACGCAAGACCGUGAGGUGGAGCAAAACUUAUAAAACCUAUCUCAGUUCGGAUUGUAGGCUGCAACUCGCCUACAUGAAGCUGGAGUUGCUAGUAAUCGCGAAUCAGAAUGUCGCGGUGAAUACGUUCCCGGGCCUUGUACACACCGCCCGUCACACCAUGAGAGCUGGUAACACCCGAAGUCCGUGAGGUAACCGUAAGGAGCCAGCGGCCGAAGGUGGGAUUAGUGAUUGGGGUGAAGUCGUAACAAGGUAGCCGUAGGAGAACCUGCGGCUGGAUCACCUCCUUUCUA
rnacentral:rRNA from 1 species